rnacentral:rRNA from 1 species
UGGGGAAUAUUGCACAAUGGGCGAAAGCCUGAUGCAGCGACGCCGCGUGAGGGAUGACGGCCUUCGGGUUGUAAACCUCUUUCAGCAGGGAAGAAGCGAAAGUGACGGUACCUGCAGAAGAAGCGCCGGCUAAUUACGUGCCAGCAGCCGCGGUAAUACGUAGGGCGCAAGCGUUGUCCGGAAUUAUUGGGCGUAAAGAGCUCGUAGGCGGUUAGUCGCGUCUGCUGUGAAAACUCGAGGCUCAACCUCGGGCUUGCAGUGGGUACGGGCUGACUAGAGUGCGGUAGGGGUGACUGGAAUUCCUGGUGUAGCGGUGGAAUGCGCAGAUAUCAGGAGGAACACCGAUGGCGAAGGCAGGUCACUGGGCCGCAACUGACGCUGAGGAGCGAAAGCAUGGGGAGCGAACAGGAUUGAGAUACCCUGGUAGUCCAUGCCGUAAACGUUGGCACUAGGUGUGGGGUCCAUUCCACGGAUUCCGUGCCGCAGCAAACGCAUUAAGUGCCCCGCCUGGGGAGUACGGCCGCAAGGCUAAAACUUAAAUGAAUUGACGGGGUCAUAGCUGUUU